rnacentral:rRNA from 1 species
CACGUAGGCGGUGGCGUGUGUCGGUGGUGAAAGCCCCCGGCUCAACCGGGGAAUUGCCUCCGAAACUGCGUCGCUAGAGUGUGGGAGGGGAGAAUGGAAUUCCUGGUGGAGCGGUGAAAUGCGUUGAUAUCAGGAGGAACGCCGGUGGCGAAAGCGAUUCUCUGGCCCACUACUGACGCUGAGGUGCGAAAGCUAGGGGAGCGAACG